rnacentral:rRNA from 1 species
GAUGAACGCUGGCGGCGUGCCUAAUACAUGCCAGUCGAGCGGACAGACGAGGAUCUUGCUCCUUUGUCGUUAGCCGAGGAGGUGUGAGUAACACGUGUAUAAUCUACCUAUAAGACUGGGAUCACUACGGGACAGCGGAUAUAACACCGGAUAAUAUCUUGAACCGUAUGGUUCAAUGGAGAAAGACGGCUUUGCUGUCACUUCUCGCUGGUUAUCCGCCGGUUUAGCUAGUUGGUAAGGUAACGGCUUUCCAAGGCGAGCAUGCGUAGCCGAACUGAGAGGGUGAUCGGCCACACGGGAACUGAGACACGGACCAGGCUCCUGCGGGAGGCAGCAGUAGGGAAUCGUCCGCAGUGGGCGAAAGCCUUGCGGAGCAGCGCCGCGCGUGUGAUGACGGUCUUCGGAUCGUAAAACUCUGUUAUGAGUGAUGAACAGAUGUGGAAGGAACCAUGCACGUCUUGACGGUACCGAAUCAAAAAGCAACGGCUAACUACGUG